rnacentral:tRNA from 1 species
GGCCUCGUAGCUCAGCUGGUAGAGCGUGCGCGUACAAAGCGGAUGCGUCGUCCAUGGGUGGGUUCGAAUCCCACCGAGGCUA